rnacentral:tRNA from 1 species
GCCAGGUUAGCCAAGGCUGGUCACGGCGACUGUCUGAAAAACAGUAGAUUUCGGUUCGACUCCGAAACCUGGCACCC